rnacentral:sRNA from 1 species
AUCCAUUCACCAGAACCUACUUUGACCCGCCGUGUACCAUACCAACUCCACCUUCCCCUUCAUCUUCUUGCGAUCGCUUUCAAAAUCGAAAUAAGGAUUAUGGCAUAUCUCGAACGCCUUCGACUCGUUCGGCGCCUCAUACAUGUGCUUGAUACUCAUACAUGUGCUUGAUACUCAUACAGCGCUUUGACUGGCUCAACGUCAUAUUGGGACGAUCCUCAGGGUACUAGUUGGUGCAUUGGCUAUAGGUGGAGGAACAUUUUGAGACUGGUGUUGGGAAAAUACCGAUCCACGGAACAAAUCUCCUCAUGAAAGUGAGCUCGCUUUCUGCUGUUCCUCCCCUUUAAGCCAGUCCAGUAUACGCACAAUAGACGCAUAUAAAUCCCAAGACGCAUAUGCUUUACUAGGAACGGCUGUGAAUGCUGGUUGACAAGGGCUAACUUGUAUUAAUUGGGCGAUAGGGAUGGUUUCACUGGCCUUGUCGUAUGGCGCCAGUGAGCAGCGCAUUCGUUGAGGCGUAUUGAGGUUAAAACGAUGGCAGAGCGAUCGAAUGAAUAGGCGGGGCAUGUGCCCAUCGAGUUGUUUGAAUGGUCAAAGGUCAAACAUCACUUGCCUGUGGGCUCGAGCUCGUGACAUUUGUGGACUUCUUUGCAACAGCUUUUGACUCAUGUCAAACAUGAUCUAUAAGCGUGUCAAUGUUGACCACCCUUUCCCUGAACCCUAUUCUGUUGGCCGAUCGUUCGAAAAUCCAUGAGUUCGAAGGCGUAACAUAUAUAGCACACAGCAAACAGUGACCCUGAAAGCCAAAAGGACCUGUUAUUGUUAAUUCGUUGGUUUUAUAUGAACGGAUACUGGAGCUGGUUGUAGACUUGAAAAGUCAAACUUCUCCGUCUAUAAUCAUUUGAAGCACUUGUAAGUUCAAUGAAACAAGGACACGGUUUAGGCGAUAGUAUGUCGUAAAAAUGGGAGUAUUACUGGUGAAGAAAAGGAAGAACCACGAUCCAAUCAGUCAUGUUAUGCCACACAAACAUUCCAUGAGCUCCCUGCUGGAUACCGUUACAUUCGGAGACAAAUAUUACACACAUCAGAUUUGUUUGUACACGGAGUACGCUAGCAAGCAACAUGGCAUGACAGAGUGAACAUGAAAUAUCUUGAGAUCGGUGACCAAUAGUUAACAGCGUGCACAAAGAAAGUGAGAGAUGAUCAAAACCCCUUUCCCAUUAUCAGCCUUCCCCCUACCAAAGCCCCAGCCAAAACCACUC